CAAGAGAUGAACGGUUGCCGUCGGACUGGCGAUUCGCGCGCUGCCGAGCUGAGGGGGACACGGGAAAAACAAAACAAAACGUUAUGCUCCAGAUCAGUAUGUUCGACGGUGACCAUUACUGAUGAGUAGACAAGCGUCGUCGUUCUUUCCUUUUUAAACGUAUUGGCAGAUGAUCUCAAGAACACUUAAAAAAACAAUCUGUAUUUAAUAAGGAAGUAUUCACAUGAACUGAAAAUGUAAACAGUCCCAUCAGUCCUCUUUCUGUAAUGCUGCAGUGAAACCUCAGCUAUGUUGGAAAGAAAUGGCAUGGAGUGAUGUAAAUGUUGUCAGUGGCCAUUUCAGAUCUGCAUCAUGAUAAAUUGUCUACGAAAGCCACUGAAUGAUACUCGCAGUGACAUGGAGUGAUGGAACUUUCGCUGCCCUUGGUUUGUUUGUUUUGCCGGCCUGUGUGCCAGUGUAGUGAAGAAGAAGUGUGGCUUGUUUUGGUCCGAGUGGGCAGUGGUUGUUCGGAUGCCUUGCCAGCCCGUUGUGCUGCUCGGAAGAAACGCCCACACACACAUACACACACACGCUAACACAGACGCACAGAGACACAGUGCCGUGUACAUCGGAGGCCUUGGUGGUAUGUGGCAGAUACCCAGAGCUGCAGCCCACUCCAGUGUGCCAAGAAGAAUCCCUCUGUUCAUGAAGUGGACAGUCACAACAGACUAAACAAGGAAAAAGGUCUUUCUCUUGUGUAACCUGAAAAGAAUUGAAGAAUUAAAGACUUUGCCGUGGCAUAGACCAUGAAAUAACAAGAAUUCUCUAUCAUACAAGUGGCUUGUAAGGUUCCUCGAUGAUAAACUGGUUGGAACGUACAAUCAGCUUCAUUGUACAUCACUAAUUUCUAUAGAACUACAGAAAUCUGUGAAGCUCCACCAUGUGGUCAAGUUGGAGAAUUGUUGCCAAGCAAAAUAAACCGAUUCCCAGAAAUCUGUGUCUA